CCGAUUGAACAUUUUUCUUAAUAAAUUUAGGGUAAAGAAGCAAAUAUUUUGCAUGUUUAUCAUGGAUGAAUUCGCAUAAAAACAAACAGUGAAUUGUUAAUGCAGAAUAAAACAUAGUGAUCAAAAGACUCAAUACAGAACCAGCUGCAAAGUGCACUGUUAAUAUAGAAUGAGAAGAAGAAUCUUGACUAAAUUAUUUGUCCCAGUUUAAGGACAUCUUUACAUGAAUAUAUUAUUUGCAAUCAGAGUAUCAUCAUUCUCAUUGCAAUAUUAAACACACAAUGCCUUUCCAACCAUAGAAAUAACAUAUACAAAAGAAAUUGAUGAAUUGGAAUCCAUUGCCAAAGUGCCAAAUGUACUAAAUUCUUGAUUAUAGUAUACACAUUCUAAUUUAGAAAAACCAUCUUCUUCGAAAAAUCGAAAAAAUGAAUUAAAAUCUCAAAAAUAAUGUCAAAAGUCAGAAAGCAAGCAAAUUGCACUGCACUCCACCAAAGAAAAAUCAUAUAUUCCCAUGUUAUGUUAUCCCCAUGCCUUGAAAAAAAAUCCAUUCCCCCUCAAUCUACGGCAGAUUCUGACGUCCUUUGAUUAAACUAAUCACGUGUAUAAUGAAAUCCAUUAGAAGUGCUUAGUUUUUAAUUGAACCAAUGGGAAAGCUUGUGUUCUGUAUAGCACAGUUAUCAAACACCAGUAGCUACGGCAGAUUCCAUUACCCCUCUUCCAGCCACUUCGCCUUUAUUUCCUGGUCCCGUCAUCUCCCUAAAAUUGGGGAUAAAAUCCCACUCUAUCUCACUGCAACAACCAACCAAAAAGGACAACUUCAAAUAUGCCAAAUCUCAAAAUUCAUACAGAAGAACAGCCUCCAUAUUUAUUUGCUUUUCCAUAGCGAGAAAUUGAAAACGUAAUCUCAAAAUUCAAGAUUAUGUACUUAUAUUUUCUACAUAAUUUACAAAUUAAUAGUAAGAUUGAUUGGCAUACCUUGAAGACAACUUGAAGAGCUCAAAAUGUGUAGUCGAUUCAGCCGAAUUUUUUUUUUAACCCAAGAUGAAUAUUAUGUCCGGGAGAAAGAAUUAUAUCACAACCAAUCGUGGCUGAAUAACUCCCUCUUGCAAAAUCGACUAUAAGAUCGAUUGCAGCCAAUCGUGGCAAUUUGACGAGCUGAAUAAAAUUUCUUGCAAAAUCCAGGAGAAAGAAUUAUAUCAUACACAAGAAAUUUGGAGCGUGAGUAAAUUGGAAUUAGGUUUGGCCGAUUAAACUAAAGCGGCAAAGUGAGGAGGGAUUUAUUUGGGGAAAAGGUUUUGGAGGCAAGGAAGAGAAUUAGGGAAACAAUUCUGGCCAGUUAAACGUGGGUUUAUU
rnacentral:lncRNA from 1 species